rnacentral:rRNA from 1 species
UACGAAGGGGGCUAGCGUUGCUCGGAAUCACUGGGCGUAAAGCGCACGUAGGCGGAUUGCUAAGUCAGGGGUGAAAUCCUGGAGCUCAACUCCAGAACUGCCUUUGAUACUGGCGACCUUGAGUCCGGGAGAGGUGAGUGGAACUGCGAGUGUAGAGGUGAAAUUCGUAGAUAUUCGCAAGAACACCAGUGGCGAAGGCGGCUCUCUGGGACGGUACUGACGCUGAGACGCGAAAGCGUGGGAGCGAACAGG